AUUCCAUCCACAGUGAGUCAAGAAGCACGCCAACGAAGGGUGUUGUAGAACCUCCACUUGUGAACACCAAUCCACUGUUUUCCCUAACUCUUCCAACUCCUCUUUGCAACUCAACUUUUCAAAUGGCUUUUCGCCAUUCGCCCCCUCUCUAAUUAUCCACAAAAAUGGCCUUUUACACAAAACUAAACCAUGAGCAAUCUCCUCCAUGAG
rnacentral:misc_RNA from 1 species